UGCAAGUCGAGCGAUGAAGUUUCUUCGGAAAUGGAUUAGCGGCGAACGGGUGAGGAACACGUGAAGAAUCUGCCCUCCACUUUGGGAUAACACCGGGAAACCGGUGCUAAUACCGAAUAUUGAAACAUAAGUGGCAUCACUGAGUUUUGAAAGAAUAUCGGUGGAGGAUGACUUCGCGGCCUAUCAGCUAGUUGGUGAGGUAAUGGCUCACCAAGGCAACGACGGGUAGCCGGCCUGAGAGGGCGACCGGCCACACUGGGACUGAGACACGGCCCAGACUCCUACGGGAGGCAGCAGUGGGGAAUAUUGGGCAAUGGAGGAAACUCUGACCCAGCGACGCCGCGUGCGGGAUGAAGGCCUUCGGGUUGUAAACCGCUUUCAGUAGGGAAGAAGCGAAAGUGACGGUACCUACAAAAGAAGCACCGGCUAACUAUGUGCCAGCAGCCGCGGUAAUACAUAGGGUGCAAGCGUUGUCCGGAAUUAUUGGGCGUAAAGAGCUCGUAGGUCGUUUGUUACGUCGGAUGUGAAAACCUGAGGCUCAACCUCAGGCCUGCAUUCGAUACGGGCAAACUAGAGUUUGGUAGGGGAGACUGGAAUUCCUGGUGUAGCGGUGGAAUGCGCAGAUAUCAGGAGGAACACCAAUGGCGAAGGCAGGUCUCUGGGCCAAUACUGACACUGAGGAGCGAAAGUCUGGGGAGCGAACAGGAUUAGAUACCCUGGUAGUCCAGACCGUAAACGGUGGGCACUAGUUGUGGGAACCUUCCACGGUUUCUGCGACGCAGCUAACGCAUUAAGUGCCCCGCCUGGGGAGUACGAUCGC
rnacentral:rRNA from 1 species